rnacentral:tRNA from 1 species
UGAAAUAGCUCAAUUAGGUAGAGCAACUGAAUCGUAAUCAGUAGGUUGGGGGUUCGAUUCCUCUUUUCAGC